rnacentral:rRNA from 1 species
UGUAUAGACUAGUAUGAUGGCUUCACGAGGAUCCAGCUGUCUCCUUUGUCCAAUCAGUGAAACUGAUCCCCCCGUGCAGAAGCGGGGAUAUUUUCAUAAGACGAGAAGACCCUAUGGAGCUUUAAACUAAUAUCAACAAAUUUCUUCCACCUCUAAACUAACAUUUAUUAAAUUUGCUUGAUUAAAGUUUUAGGUUGGGGCGACCAUGGAGAAAAAAAAAUCCUCCACGAUGAUCUCCUAACUAAGAACCACAAUUCUAAGUAUUAAGACUCUUAACUUAUAUUGACCCAUUUUAUGAUCAACGAACCAAGUUACCCUAGGGAUAACAGCGCAAUCCAUUUCAAGAGUUCAUAUCGACAAAUGGGUUUACGACCUCGAUGUUGGAUCAGGGCACCCAAGUGGUGCAACCGCUACUAAAGGUUCGUUUGUUCAACGAUUAAAGCCCUACGUGAUCUGAGUAAAAACCGGAGA